UACGUAGGGUGCAAGCGUUGUCCGGAAUUAUUGGGCGUAAAGAGCUCGUAGGCGGUUUGUCGCGUCUGCUGUGAAAACUCGGGGCUUAACCCCGGGCCUGCAGUGGGUACGGGCAGACUAGAGUGCGGUAGGGGAGACUGGAAUUCCUGGUGUAGCGGUGAAAUGCGCAGAUAUCAGGAGGAACACCGGUGGCGAAGGCGGAUCUCUGGGCCGAUACUGACGCUGAGGAGCGAAAGCGUGGGGAGCGAACAGG
rnacentral:rRNA from 1 species